rnacentral:rRNA from 1 species
UUGACCUCGGAUCAGGUAGGAAUACCCGCUGAACUUAAGCAUAUCC